AUUUCUGCUGCAGGACAGUUCUAUGCACCUGAUGGAUCUGAUGAGAGUGUGAUGGGUUUAAGCACAGACCAGGAAAACAGUCUACUUGUCACCGGAGACACAGCCGGAGUCAUUAAGGUCUGGGACAUCUCACAGUACGCCUUAUCCGCUGCAGAUACGCAGUCUGCAGAAGAUCUGCCCUCGCUGUUGCACUCUUGGAGGGGCCACGAGAGGGCGAUAGUGAGCAGCGAGCUGCUGGCGUACGAGUCUCAACUCUUCGUUCUGAGCAUCUCGGUGGACCGCAGGGCCUGUCUCUGGACCCCUCAGGGAAGUUGUGUGGGCUGUUUUGGACAGGAACAGCAGUGGGAUUUGAGCAACCCGGACACUUAUCAAACCAACAGAGAACCUACCAGUCCAAUCAAAGAGGAGGAGAGGACAGAGGACAGCCAAUCACGUGUCGGCGCUGGGAGUUUCAUCUGCUGGGGUGAAAGUUCAGAGGUCACUGGGACAAGCCUUAGUGCGGGUGAUAGUCAACAAACAGAAUUAGCUCUAGACCUGCAAAGAGGCCGUAUGGCUAGACCCCAGACCCCAGACUCUGAGCGCUGCAGCUCUAUGGAAAGGUUCCCGCUGCCUAAAUACAGUAAGGUUCUGUCUGGAGAGCAUGCGUUUAGGGAUCUGGAGAUUAAGAUGACUGCGCAGCAACGCAGGCCACGGGAGACUGGCCGAGAAAAGCUCUGUCGCUUCGGGAACGAGUUCAUGCCGCUUCAGGCUCUGGAGCUGCCGGAGAUCAGUGAGCUGAAAGAUGUACCUUUGAAGCCUUGGAGAUUGAAGAUACGUCAGAUUUCCUCCAGAGGAGCAGAGGCGAGCUCUCGCAUGCUCUCCUCUGAAGCUCCUCUGCAUUGUGAAACACUGGAGGACUAGACAGCCGUAUGACGGAGGACACAGGGUUUAUUUUUUUUACUGCAGGUCAGUGACUGUACACUGUUUUACACCGAAAUUCUCUGCCUUAACAGUUUAAUAGACAUCGCUUUUGUGCCACCAUUGUUCAGUCACGUCAAUGUUUGUAUGCAAUAUGUAUUAUUUAUUACAAUAUAGAGGGGGAAAAAAAAAUAAAAAUGUUUUUGAAAUUUG
rnacentral:lncRNA from 1 species